UCCUACGGGGGGCAGCAGUGAGGAAUAUUGGUCAAUGGACGAGAGUCUGAACCAGCCAAGUAGCGUGAAGGAUGACUGCCCUAUGGGUUGUAAACUUCUUUUAUAUGGGAAUAAAACGUUCCACGUGUGGGAUUUUGUAUGUACCAUAUGAAUAAGGAUCGGCUAACUCCGUGCCAGCAGCCGCGGUAAUACGGAGGAUCCGAGCGUUAUCCGGAUUUAUUGGGUUUAAAGGGUGCGCAGGCGGAAGAUCAAGUCAGCGGUAAAAUUGAGAGGCUCAACCUCUUCGAGCCGUUGAAACUGGUUUU
rnacentral:rRNA from 1 species